ensembl:misc_RNA Metazoa_SRP Metazoan signal recognition particle RNA
GCCGGGCGCCGUGGCGGGCGCCUGUAGUCCCAGCUACUCGGGAGGCUGAGGCAGGAGAAUGGCGUGAACCUGGGAGGCGGAGCUUGCAGUGAGCCGAGAUCGCGCCACUGCACUCCAGCCUGGGUGACAGAGCUAGACUCUGUCUCAA